AACUUGUGGAAUGAAAACUUGAUCUAAAAUCUAAGUUGUUAACGGAUAUGAUAUGGGAAGAUUGAGCUGCUGUUUAUCUGUUCCUAGAGAUGCUAGAAUUCUGAAGAAUUUUAUCUUUGAAAAAUCUUUAAAAUAUUGCAUGAUGAGUUCCUGUAUGAUGAGAGUUUAAAUUCCUACCACAGCCAUAUAUACAUGCUUGCUAGACUUUGAGCCACACAUUUACUAUUUACUGCUUAUGAGCAUUGAGUGUGGUCAAGCUGUGUAGACCCUUAGGAGCUUGUCAUGUGGUUAAAUCAAGAUUUCACUUGCACAUUCACUCAUAUAUGCUACUUCUACUCUGGAAGUACCAUCCACAUAUAUCCACUCAUUUCCAUCUCUAGAACUACCCAAAAAUAUUCUACUACUAAUCCGGGAGAGAAUAGCCAAAAAUAUUUCUAUUUUCCCUUGUGAAAUAAAUGCUCAAGUUAUCUUGCUACUACGACUUGCUAUAUUAUCUCAUGAGAUGAGUGCUCUAAAAAAAGAGAAAAAUAUAUAUAUAUAUACGAGGAAAUAAAAAGGGGCAAGUGCCCGGAACCUCGAAAGAAAAGAAAAAGUGAGACGAGAGGUAAAAAUGGACAAGUGUCCAAUAGUAGAAUUAGGGGAACAGGAUACCCACCUGAGAGGAAAGAAAAAUGAAAGAUAGAGCAUCUCAUUCUCCUCAUAAAGUUUCAAAAAGCAAGGAAGGUAUGUAUCCCCUCAAAAGAGCAAAAGUAGAAUUAGACUUUCACCAUUGUUAUCACCAUCAUUACCAUACACCAUUCAUUCGCCACACAUGCACAUCUUGAUUUGACUUAUUGACUUGUUUCUCUGGAUCCAUGGUUUGACUAUGCAAUAAAUGUCUUGUAAGUAUGUAUGAGCUGUCUCCCACCUAUGAGCUCCAGAUAUUAAAGCCUUAUUAGAGUAGGGUGAGAGAGAAGGCAAUGUCACUAUACCUUAUACCACAAAUACCACAUAUCUUGAGAGAAGGCAUAUACCAUCACUGCCUUGGUAAGGAUCCAGAAAUACCACAAAAGACAGAUUUAGAGAGUCAUACAAGGAAUCUCUGAGUUUUAUUUGAAAAUCUGCAAAAACUCCAGAGCUAUAGCUGAUCAAGAAUAAGAGACAUGGCACUUGGCUAGACUGUUUUAUCUUUUAACUACUCAAGACAGAAGUGACGGUUACA
rnacentral:lncRNA from 1 species